rnacentral:lncRNA from 1 species
GCCAUGUUUAUACAGAAAAGUGACUGUUUCUAUAGCACAGUGUGCAGAUGCAUUGUCAGCUAGAAGUGACAUAUCUUUUGACAGCAAACUUCUUUUUUUCUUGAUACAUUCCCAUAACUUUUGUAGCAGGUUCCUAUAGUUUGCUCGUUAUUGUUGACCCUUUGUGUAAGUAAUCUAUCAAUAUGAUACUGUUGCUGUCUCAACACAGACAUGACCUUGCUGGACAGUUUUCUUUUAGGUCAUCUUGUGUUUACAAAAUGUUACUAAUGUUAAAAAUAUUCAAAUGUGGUUGUACCAGCCUAAAGGAUGGUGCAGCUACAUUUAAAUUCCUGUUUUCUAUUGUUUCACAAUCUCAUAUGAUGGAUAUUCCUCACCAUUUGCAGUUUUCCCUUGAAGAUGAAGGAAUCAUAUCAUAGCUCAAUAGUCAGUUUUGUACAACAUACACCUACUAUCACUCUUCUAACUCUGCCAAACAGAACCUUCAAAAUAAAAAAGCAUUUAUAUUAUCAGCUGAAACAUGUAAGAUGCUACAGAUCUAUAAGUGUAAACAAUGUAGUAACCUAUCAUUGUUUACACUUAUAGGUAGUUCUAGAGCAGUCUAUUGGACCCUAGAAAUCAUGUGGAGACAAAAAACUGAAAGAUUAUUAAAUGAUAGAUCGGCUCUAGAACUAACUCACACAUGAACCUAUGCAGUUGAAACAAAAUUCAGAUGAAAACACUCCUCUCUAGUAUAAGAAUAGUAAAGACUAUUAUUAUUAUUGUAGUAUUAAUAUUGUUUUUAAACUUGUAACUAUAGAAAACCAC